rnacentral:rRNA from 1 species
AGUGAACGCUGGCGGUAGGCCUAACACAUGCAAGUCGAACGGCAGCACAGUAAGAGCUUGCUCUUACGGGUGGCGAGUGGCGGACGGGUGAGGAAUACAUCGGUAUCUACUUUUUCGUGGGGGAUAAUGUAGGGAAACUUACGCUAAUACCGCAUACGACCUACGGGUGAAAGCAGGGGAUCUUCGGACCUUGCGCGAUUGAAUGAGCCGAUGUCGGAUUAGCUAGUUGGCGGGGUAAAGGCCCACCAAGGCGACGAUCCGUAGCUGGUCUGAGAGGAUGAUCAGCGACACUGGAAGUGAGACACGGUCCAGACUACUACGGGAGGCGGCAGUGGGGAAUAUUGGACAAUGGGCGCAAGCCUGAUCCAGCCAUACCGCGUGGGUGAAGAAGGCGUUCGGGUUGUAAAGCCCUUUUGUUGGGAGAGAAAAGCAGCAGGUUAAUACCCCGCUGUUCUGACGGUACCCAAAGAAUAAGCACCGGCUAACUUCGUG